AGAGUUUGAUCCUGGCUCAGGAUGAACGCUGGCGGCGUGCUUAACACAUGCAAGUCGAACGCACCUUCGGGUGAGUGGCGGACGGGUGAGUAACGCGUGGGAAUCUGCCCUUAGGAGGGGGAUAACGGCUGGAAACGGCCGCUAAUACCCCAUAUGCCGAGAGGUGAAACGAAUUUCGCCCGAGGAUGAGCCCGCGUCUGAUUAGCUAGUUGGUGGGGUAAGAGCCCACCAAGGCGACGAUCAGUAGCUGGUCUGAGAGGAUGAUCAGCCACACUGGGACUGAGACACGGCCCAGACUCCUACGGGAGGCAGCAGUGGGGAAUUUUCCGCAAUGGGCGAAAGCCUGACGGAGCAACGCCGCGUGAGGGAUGAAGGCCUCUGGGCUGUAAACCUCUUUUCUCAAGGAAGAAGACAUGACGGUACUUGAGGAAUAAGCCACGGCUAAUUCCGUGCCAGCAGCCGCGGUAAUACGGGAGUGGCAAGCGUUAUCCGGAAUUAUUGGGCGUAAAGCGUCCGCAGGCGGCUCUGUAAGUCUGUUGCUAAAGCGUGGAGCUCAACUCCAUUUCAGCAAUGGAGACUACAGGGCUUGAGUGUGGUAGGGGCAGAGGGAAUUCCCGGUGUAGCGGUGAAAUGCGUAGAUAUCGGGAAGAACACCAGUGGCGAAGGCGCUCUGCUGGGCCAUAACUGACGCUCAUGGACGAAAGCCAGGGGAGCGAAAGGGAUUAGAUACCCCUGUAGUCCUGGCCGUAAACGAUGAACACUAGGUGUCGGGGGAAUCGACCCCCUCGGUGUCGUAGCCAACGCGUUAAGUGUUCCGCCUGGGGAGUACGCACGCAAGUGUGAAACUCAAAGGAAUUGACGGGGGCCCGCACAAGCGGUGGAGUAUGUGGUUUAAUUCGAUGCAACGCGAAGAACCUUACCAGGGUUUGACAUCCUGCGAAUCCCUUGGAAACUUGGGAGUGCCUUCGGGAGCGCAGAGACAGGUGGUGCAUGGCUGUCGUCAGCUCGUGUCGUGAGAUGUUGGGUUAAGUCCCGCAACGAGCGCAACCCACGUCUUUAGUUGCCAGCAUUCAGUUGGGCACUCUAGAGAGACCGCCGGUGAUAAACCGGAGGAAGGUGUGGAUGACGUCAAGUCAUCAUGCCCCUUACAUCCUGGGCUACACACGUACUACAAUGCUACGGACAGAGGGCAGCAAGCUCGCGAGAGUUAGCAAAUCCCAUAAACCGUGGCUCAGUUCAGAUCGUAGGCUGCGACUCGCCUACGUGAAGGAGGAAUCGCUAGUAAUCGCAGGUCAGCAUACUGCGGUGAAUACGUUCCCGGGCCUUGUACACACCGCCCGUCACACCAUGGAAGUUGGCCAUGCCCGAAGUCGUUACC
rnacentral:rRNA from 1 species